UACAGAGGUCCCAAGCGUUGUUCGGAUUCACUGGGCGUAAAGGGUGCGCAGGUGGCUGUGUAAGUUUGAUGUGAAAUCUCCGGGCUCAACCCGGAAAUGGCAUUGAAUACUACAUGGCUGGAGGUUUGGAGGGGGGACUGGAAUUCCCAGUGUAGCGGUGAAAUGCGUAGAUAUUGGGAGGAACACCAGUGGCGAAGGCGGCUCACUGGACCGGAACUGACGCUGAGGCGCGAAAGCGUGGGGAGCAAACAGG
rnacentral:rRNA from 1 species